GACGAACCGUACGAACGUUAUUCGGAAUCACUGGGCUUAAAGGGCGCGUAGGCGGUUCACGCAGUCAGAUGUGAAAUUCCUGGGCUCAACCUGGGGGCUGCAUUUGAUACGUCGGACGUAGUGGAUGGGGAAGGGAAGGGUACGGUCGGUGAAAUUUCCCCAGUGUAGAGGUGAAAUUCGUAGAUAUUGGGAAGAACACCGGUGGCGAAGGCGGCGACCUGGUCCUUGACUGACGCUGAGGCGCGGAAAAGCGUGGGG
rnacentral:rRNA from 1 species